rnacentral:snoRNA from 1 species
GGAGCAGUGAUGACUUCUAUACAGUAUGCAAUGAUGCAUUCCUUGGAAAUCUGAACAAAAUGAGUGGGAACUCUAUACUAUCGUCUUUGUCAAACUGAGGUCC